rnacentral:lncRNA from 1 species
CAAGAAGGAACAUGGAAGGACCAGAGGUAGAACAAACUGAAAGGAAGGUGGAGCACCGGUGUCAUAGAUCCUGAGGGAGAAGGAGAAACAGCCCAAGUGAAAGAUCCAGCACAAGUGCAUGGAGCCUACAUGAUACUCAUUCGCCAUGACUGAGGGAAAUUCACUCUUUAAAUAUGCACUGAGGAGACUUCUGUUCCCAGGAAGAUGAAGUAGACAUCCUUUUUCCUAUUUCUGCCACUAAAUAAAGCUAAAAACUCUGGACAUUAUGUAUAAAACAAACAUAUGAAGAUUCGGAAAGUUGGAAAGAAGACAGAUCGGCUAAGGACCUCAGGACCAGUAGAAAGACAUGGUAGUGAAGUCUCUAGAUUUUCUUUUUGCUUUAUAGGUCUCUGGUCAGGUACUGGAGAAGCUAGCAAUCCAGAAAUUCCAAUGGGCUUGGACACAGUCAUGGGGAGGGGAGAACACGUGGGGAGUCUGGACUUCCACUCGCUCCCACCCAGUAGCUACAAGGUACCUCACCCCCAGGGUCAGUGGAGGGCACAUGGAGAGCACUAAUGAGGUGCCCCUGGAACUUCUAUCUCUAUCUUGGCAGUAAUGAGGCAGCAUCCUCCCUUCCUCUGAGGGAGUGGUGUCAGAGGAGGCCUGCUAAAAUACAAGAUUUAAAUAAGGUCCAGUCUUUUUAAUAUAAAACCCAAAAUGUCCAAGAAUCAAUGGAAAAUCACUCAUCGUAACAAGGAAGACCUCAACUUGAAUGAGAAAAGACAAUCAACAGAUGCCGAGACUGAAAUGAAACUGAUGUUAGUAUCAUCUGGCAAGGAUUUUGAAGCAGCCACCAUCAAGGUCCUUCUUGUUCUGCUAUGUGGGACACCACCUCAGCAUGGCCUGAUGAGCUGUGCUAGGUCCGCGCCCAGGAUCCAAACUGGCAAAACCCAGGGACACUGAAGCGGAGCGAGCAGCCUUAACCACUCAGCCAUAGACCCAGCCUGGAAAAAAAUCUUAAAAGCAACCGGCGAGAAACCAUCCAUGAAACGCUCUGAUUUUUGGCAUUAGAGGAAUAGGCUGGUUACCAGCAUUUCCUGUUGAUUUCAACUAUUAGUCUUCUGCUUUUAACUGGACUCAACCAAGCCAAGAUGUACAGAGCAUUUACAUUUACAAAUUAUGCUGGGCACCUGGGGGACAUUUAUCACCCCAUUCUUCUUAUAGCUGCCCCACUGCAGGUGUUAUCCCUCAGAGCAAAUUAAGGAAUUCCAGAAUUGGAAAGAACCUCAAAAAAAAACAGGAAAUCAAGAGUAGAAAUUUGUAAUUUGGGAUUUCUGGAUGGGCUUCAGCUCUGUGAACUCCCUGAAAUUAAUCUAAAAAUGCCAGUAUGUAUGUGCUUUUUUCUAGGGAAAGGACCAUAGUUUUCAUCAGCUUCUCAAAGGAGCUGAUGGCCCCCAAAAGGUUAAGAGCCACCAUAAGAGUUUCUGUUCUUUUCAGGCAAACCCAUAUAAUCCAACCUAGAUAGAUUGGCUAAAAAAAAAAAUGAGGCUAAAAGUAGGGAAGAUAUUCCCUAUCAUAUCCAUCAAAAUUCCUGAAUGCCACCUCAUGAUGAUUCUCUAUUUUUAAGGAGAAAAUAGGAAAAUGACAGUUUCUAAUUCCUUCUAGGCACUUCUGAAAAUACACGUGCAUUAAAGAAUGUUUGCCUGUAGUCUUAUUUUGAACAUUUUAAAAAUAGUACCUGGAGGUGACUACAUGACUAAUGCACUGUGAUUUAAAAUGUACUUGAGGUUUGAUUUCUCUCAAUGCCAUUGGAAGAGUUCAGACACACGAGGAAGCCACAGCAGCCUCUCUACAUCAGUACCAAUGGGCUGGUUUACAGGCCACAGGGCAAACUGGCCUUUUUCUGCAUUCCUUU